CAGCAGCCACGGUAAUACGAAGGGUGCAAGCGUUACUCGGAAUUACUGGGCGUAAAGCGUGCGUAGGUGGUGGCUUAAGUCCGUUGUGAAAGCCCUGGGCUCAACCUGGGAAUUGCAGUGGAUACUGGGUCACUAGAGUGUGGUAGAGGAUAGUGGAAUUUCCGGUGUAGCAGUGAAAUGCGUAGAGAUCGGAAGGAACAUCUGUGGCGAAGGCGACUAUCUGGGCCAACACUGACACUGUGGCACGAAAGCGUGGGGAGCAAACAGGAUUAGAUACCCGCGUAGUCCCUGUCUCUUAUAC
rnacentral:rRNA from 1 species